UUGAGACUGCACCGGAGAUGCUGACAGCUACCUUCAGUCCACAUUCUCUGUCUGAAGAGAGAACCGGGACCAUGAGGAGUUUUCUUGUCUGGACUUGGAUUCUUCUCCCAGGCUGUUGGGCUCUGACCAGCCCUAGGGAGGUGAGCGGCCCCUUGGGAGGGUCGGUGUCUGUGCAGUGUCAGUACAAUGAGAGGUACCAGAAUAAUACGAAAUACUGGUGCAGAGGAGAAGAGUGGUUAUUCUGCUCCAUAGCUGUUCAGAUCAUCAGUGCAGAGGCCGAGGUGAAGCAGGGCAGAGUCUCUAUCCAAGACAAUCGCAUACAGUGCACGUUCAUUGUGACUAUGGAGAGCCUGGAACUGGGCGACCAGGAUGUUUACUGGUGUGGAAUAGAGAUGGUCGGCCUUGACAAGAUGUUUGCUGUCAACGUGUCUGUUUUCCCAGCUGUUCCUACCUCACCACUGACAACACCAAAAAAGGACGUGACCGUUGCCACCUCCCCAUGGACUGUUCCUGAAGUGGAAAAAUCCACCUCCUCCUUUAACAGUAACCAUGCUCCUGCCGGAUUUCCAAGCACUUUACAAAGGAGUAUACCAAACCUCAUCCUCUACAUCCUGAUCCCAUCCAUGCUGCUGGUUCUGCUUUUGAUUUUGUUCAUUGCUGUAAAGUUUAGAAGAGCAUUGCAGAGGAAGAGAAAAGCCCUUGAGGACACACCAGGACAAAAGGAUAAGAACACCUAUCUCUAUAACCCGAAUCCUGGGCACAAGCCUCCCUUCAGUGCAUCAGAUCCUGCUGCCACGGGCCAGAUGGCAAUCUAUAUGAACGAGCAACACCUGCCCAGCUCAGCCGAUCUGGUGUCUGACUAUGAAAACAUGAUCCCGCAGAGGAGUCAGGUUUCAGGACAGAGAAAAGCAGUUUUUUCUGGCCCACAGAACUGCUCAGCCACAGACCAGCAGGACACCUACGUCAAUAUGUACUCAGUCACAUCCCAUCCCCCCAUGAUUUGUCAUCAAGCAAAGUGUGGGAGAAAAGCUGCAGGCUGAAGCCCUUCCUACUCACAGGAUAUUUAGCAGCUCAUCCUUAUUUUCCUGCUGUCCCAUGAAAGCUUCCAGACUGGCAUUCCCUCUGCCCUCCUUCAGCUGAGCAAUCUGACAGCAGCAGGAUGUGGUGGGGAGGUCCCAUUUCCAGCACGAUUGUCUUCAGAAAUGUACUGGGGGCCAACAGCUACUACAAAGUACUUCUCCUUUCCUGGACAUCAGCUUGAAACAGCACGAAGUCUUGGUGGCUCCGGUUCCUCAAGGGCUGGAGGUAUUCCUCUGGUGCUCGUUGUGGCAUCUCUCUGCUGCAGCGCCACAUAAUUGCUCAUAAAACUCACUUGGUGCAAAGGAGCUUGGUUCUGGGGUCAGAACCUCAGGCUGAUGAGGCAACUCUUUGGCUGGAGGUGAUAUGGGGAACAGAGCCUCAGGGAGGGUGCGGAAAUAACAAUGGGAAGACAAGGCAGAAGGAAACAGCUUUGUCCUUCAUUUCCCCAGCCAGCGUGGAGUUAAUUGUGAUGGAAUCUUUUUACCCCCAAUCCCACGUUACCACAGUGGCUGAGAAGAAGAAGGGCACAUGGAUUCCCCCAUUUUAUACAGGUUAUAAUGAAAAGAUUGAGAGCCCAUUCCCAGAUGUUCUUUUUGGACAUCUUCAUCUUUGAUCCUAACUACCCCGUGGGACACAUGUAAAGAAUUUGAACACAAGACCAAUAUCAUUCUAGAGUGUAGGAACAGAAGUGUUGUAUGAAAGACACGAGAGAUAAUGGUCUCACCCUAGACUUUCUAGCCUCAUCUCCACCAUGUGCACCACUAGGGUUCCUCGUACCAUCCACCCCCUAGCACCUCCAGUAACCCCACAUUGAGUCAUGAUGCUGGAGUGGUGGGGAGUCAGGAAUUGGCUCCUUCUCUCUAUUUUGCCCACAGGAGCUCCACUCUUCUUUAAACUCUGUCGCCCAACACCUCCAUGAUAACCCUCCUCCCUGCACAGCUCCCACCAGAUCUGCUCGGCUGCCCCAAUAUUACCAGCUCUCAUGGUUCUAGUGCAAGUCUCACAAUGUUCGCUGCUUUGUUUAAAGCCUCAACUCCUGGAUUCUUGGGAUGAUGGGAGAAUCUCAGCUUUCCUUAGAAAAGAAACAAUAUGUUUCUAGCCCACCCCACAGCAGAGAAAAAAUUGAAAGGUGACCCAAGUGCACCCUUAGGUUUCAAAAAGUGGAAGAUUAAAAAAGAACCCCAAAGGCAUCUUUAAAUGAACAAAAACUCUUGAGAUUUUAAAACCAAUCUCAUGGUUGCUGAGGCCCUACACAUGAUUUUUGAAUGCUUGAGGGGGAGGGACAAUAUCAGUGCUGCCAUAUAGAAAUAAUUAGUGAUGUAGACACACAGAGAGCUGAAGCCUCAGUGGAUAUGUCUACACCAGUGGUUCUCAACCUAUUUACCACUGUAGGCCUCAUAUUCAGCUCUCUGUGUGCUAUGUGGGCCACAUCCACACAAUAUAUAUACUACUUGUAUGGCCCUAAGGAUCAGGGGUGGGGCUGGCUUGGGAGGCAGAGGGGAACCACCCCCAGCACGCACCGGUAGCAUGGCUGGGGCUCGGCUACUGCACUUCCCGUUGCCAGUGCGUGCAGGCACGGCUCUGCUGCAGUUCUCAGGGGAGCAGAAGGGGAGGUGCGGACCAGGGGCAGGGGCUUUCGCGAAGGGGUGGAGUGGGGGCGGGGCUGGUGUGG